rnacentral:lncRNA from 1 species
AUGAUGUUUUUAAAAAGAUUUAUUUAUUUGAGAAGUGGAAUUAUAGAGCAGGGGGGGCUGGAGCUGGGCCUAUCCAAAGCCAGGAGCCAGGAGCUUCCUUGGGGUCUCCACAUGGGUACAGAGGCUCAAGCACUUGGCCAGCUUCUGCUGCCUCCCCAGGCACACCAGCAGGGAGCUGAAUUGGAAGCUAUGCAUCUGGGCAUGAACUGGAAUACAUAUGGGGUGCCAGCACUGCAGGCAGAGACCUACCCUACAUGCCAUAGCAUCAGCCCACUACUUGUGUCCUACAAGAAGGUGAAUACAGCUGCCUCUAUACUUAAGAGCUGCCCACAUGGUUCCUAUUAUUGGAAGCAACAUUGAAAUUGCUACCUCAGUUCUCAUUCUAUGACAUUUCUUACCAUCAGGACUGACUUAUAGAGGAAAUCCACCUCUGUUGUUCUCAGCAAAUGACGGUGCCUUUUUUACCAACACAUUUUGUUGCUAUUGUAAUUGGAAUGUCUUAUAGAUCUCUUAUAGAAUAUACUCAGUUUGGAGAGAGGAGACUAGAGGGAAUGACCCCUGGGGGGGGGGGGAGUUCACCAGGCUAGCUGGAGAGAGAGAGAGGAAAAAAAAAAGGUGACUGGUACGGACACGGGUUUCUCUCUCUCCGCUCACCUCUCAAGGGUGAACAAGACAAAGAGCAGGCGCCAUCUUGGACAUACGUCAUAAGCAGAGCGACCUCAGGUCUGCACCGGCCCUGGGCCUAGCAGAAAAACCUGACUCUGGGCAGGGCGAAUUAACAGGAGAUUAGGACCUAGUAAAUUUGUGGUGCUACUGAACUGAGACUGUGAAAAAAGAGACGGUGGGGGAGAGAACUCACGGAAUUCACGUGAGCACUCUCCAGAGACGCUACAAUUCUGUAACUUUGGCAACCCAGUGGGAGACUGAAGGAGAAUUUGAGCCCACUCUGAGGGCUGAACAGAUUCCCUGUGUGGUCCUUGGGAAAGAGCUUCCGAUCUCUGGCUCCUGUGGGUAUAUCAUUUGCCUGCUAACUACCUCCAACUUCGUUCAGCUGUGCAGAAUUACUUCCCUUUUGAAUAAAAAAGAGAGAGAGAGAGAGAGGUUUGCCA